GUAAAGAGCUCUACCAGUCGUGAAGUGCUGAGGCGCAGGAGCGUUGCUUUACGACGAAUUCAGUGAUCUCGGCUGCUCCGCCCUGCACGUGUGCUGCUGUCGGUAUUUGGAUCGGUAAUUCAUUUCUGGCGUGGAAGCGGCCACAUUCGGGACGGAGUGGUAGCAGAGGUCAACAUCCGUGAGUUGAUGGAGUUUGCUGCUGAAAAUGAAGGGACUCCGGGAGGAGAUUGCAUGAGUGGAGCAGUGGGGGCGCGGCUAAGACCCGGGUCGUGUAGGGAGGAAGUUUUUGCAGGGAUGGCGGAGGCCUGCGGUGGAGAGGAGGGGAAUGGGCUGACAGGAAUGGAGAAAACAAGGGUUGGAGGAGAAGGAAGUGGACAAAGGCAAAAGGACAUGCGAGUGGACCUGAAGGUUGUGAAGCAAGAAAUAACAGACUGGUCAGAAAUAGAAGAAUGCAAGUUAGAUGCAUGGUGGGUGAAGCAAGAGGUGGAGAAUGGGCCUGAGGUGAAGGAUGAGAAAACGGGCACACUGGAGGUGAAACAGGAGAUGGAUGCUAGUUUGGUGAUAAAAGAAGAAAAGAUGGAUGAACCAGAGAUAAAGGAAGAGAAAGUGAAGGUUAAGGAAGAGGUUAUGGACUGGCUAGAAGUGAAGGAAGAGAAGGAGGUUAAAUUUGAGAUUAAAAAAGAGGAGAUGUUGGCUGACCAAAACAUAAAAGAGGAGGAAAUGAUGGAUGCAUUUUGUGUAAAAGAAGAGAAGGAUGUCCUGAAAAAAGAAGUGAUGGAUGAUACAAAGGUGAAGGAAGAGCGUGAGAUCAGCCCCCCAGUGAGCUGCAAGAGGAAACUGGCCAUGUCAAGGUGUGAAACUUGUGGUACAGAAGAAGCAAAGUACAGAUGUCCACGUUGUAUGCGAUAUUCCUGCAGUUUGCCCUGUGUAAAGAAACACAAAGCGGAAUUGACAUGUAAUGGAGUUCGAGAUAAAACUGCGUUUGUUUCAAUACAACAGUUUACUGAAAUGAAUCUUCUAAGUGAUUAUCGAUUUUUGGAAGAUGUGGCAAGAACAGCAGACUAUAUUUCUAGAGACACUUUUUUGAAAAGACCAAUAGGAAAUAAACAUAUGUACUAUCUGAAAAACCGUGCCCGGAAGCAAGGUAUUUACUUAAAACUUCUACCCAAUGGAUUCACCAAGAGAAGAGAGAAUUCGACAUUUUUUGAUAGGAGAAACCAACAGUUUUGUUGGCAUGUGAAGCUCCUGUUCCCUCAAAGUCAAGCUGUGUACGUAGAAAAAAGGGUACCGGAUAAUAAAACUAUUAAUGAAAUCCUAAAAACUUACAUUGAUCCUGAAAAGUCUGAUCCUGUAAUUCGUCAAAGGUUGAAAGCCUACAUUCGCUCUCAGACUGCUGUCCAAAUUUUAAUGAAGGUUGAAUGUGUGCAGCAAAAUUUAGUAAGUUAUCAUGAACUGGAUCCUUGUAAAAGUCUCCUAGACAAUUUGAAGAACAAGGUGCUUAUUGAGUACCCGACAUUGCAUGUGGUGUUGAAGGGAUCCAGUAGCGACAUGAAGAUCCUUCACCAAGUGAAAAGUGAAUCUUCCAAAAACUUUGGCAGUGAAAGUUGAUCAUUUCUUCUGGAAGAAGGUGACAAUUCCCAGACAGUUGCAGAGGACUGUGUAUUGGCUGGCUAUUGGAAGAUUGGAGCAUUAUCAGUGGGUGAUUGGAAUUUUUUAUUUGUCUGGAAAGUAAUUAAAAAACCUAAAAAUGAUUUUUUUUUUUAACAAGAUGCAUUUUCUAGUCUCUUAAAUUUACUUGUAAGGCCCUUCUUCAUAUUAACAACCCUGUUUUGUACCUGAUCAGUAGAAAAAAGAGAGCUUGUUAAAUCCUGGCUUUUAGCAUGCUUAAUUCCAUAAGCUGAAGUCUUUUUUAUUUGUUAGUUUAGUGCAAGGUCAGCUGUGUUGGCCACAAAGUUGGCAUCCUCUGUAGUAGAAGCUCACUGAGCAAGAAGGCCUUACAACACACUGUCCAGCCGCAGGAUGACUGAUCCUCGCCAGUUCUUGUCUUUGAGGUUUAUAUGUAACCUUUCCCUCUUGAGAUGACUGAUGGGUACUGGUAGUAGCCAGUACAGUGUCUUUGUAAAGACUCGAUAAAUACCAUUAAUAAUAAUUUCUUAUAUUUGCCUAAGAAAAUUAUUGGCUGUACAUUGCUAUUUGAACCAUCAGUGCUAAUGAAUUUAGACUUUUAUGCACAAAGUGAACUGUAUCUUACUAUGAAUUCUGUGCCUUUAAUUCCAUUUCCACUCCACCCUAUUACCACACAGGGAUAUUGUGAUGGCCAGUGUUGUGCUGUUUUGAAGUGUCUAGCAAUAACUAAAGAAAAAACAUUUGGAACUCUUCAAUUUGUUAUUGAAAUAUAUAUGUGUGUAUUUGUGUGUAUACAUGGUUUAAUUUAUACCUUAUGGCAGCUCUGUGUGCAUUUUGAUCUCACAUAUUGAAAUUAAAGUUCCCUAAUUUUAUUGGAAUUUAUACAGUUACGAAAUCACAAUGUGACUGUAAAAGAGUAAAAGAUUAUUACAUCUGUAUUGCGUCGGUGUACUUAAUGGUCAAGAAAACAGUGACAAAAUUGGACAUUAAAGAAAGCCAUUUUUAGUUGACAAUUGGAGUAAGUUUUAGACCAAAAAGAAACCAGAGGCAUUAAUUAAAGGGACUUGGAAAAAUUUGAAAUAUGAAAAGAUAAUGGGAAGAUGAGCUUAGGAGAAACUUAUAAGACAGAAAUAUAUAUAACUUGGGGUAGAAAUUGUAGAAGAAAAUCCAAAAGACAUAAUGCAAAAAAAGAAAAAAUAAGGCCUUGUGAUUUCAGAAAUAUGUGUAUGUAUUAUAAAGCAAAUUCAAGAAUUGUCUGUUACAGUAAUUUGUUGUUUAUGAUAUUACUGGAGAAACAAGUUAAUGGGAUUUCAGGGAAUUCAGACUCAAUCUGAAAAUGAAAUUUGUUGCUCUGAAAUAGGCAAGGAAUAGGAUGGAAUUGAAUUAAAUGUGUCAUAGAGUUGUUAUUGGGGAAAGUGGGAUAAAGUACACAAAAAGAACAUGUGAUCUGAAUAUCAGGGUGGAGAGGAAUUUCCUGACAGUGAAAUCUGUUAUGAUGUAGUCUCGUUUCCAAGAAAAGUGUUGAGUUCCAUCCUUUCUAGAAUUUAAAUUGAAAACUGGACAAAAACCAAAGGAUUUAUCCUGUACUUUAUCCCAUCCAUUAGCGGGGAGAAAUACCACAUGAUAUAAUACAUCUUUGCCAUCUCUAUUUUCUAGAAUUCUCUCAGACUUUUUAGUUAUAGACUAUUCCUUUGGAAAGAAUUUAACAAGCAGAGUUUCCUUAACUAUCAGCUCCUUUGAUUAAUAUGCACAUGAAUUCCCACAGGAUUUAUAAUAAACAUGUGUUUUAGUGAAUAACCAUGUUACAGUCUUGGAGGGGGUAAAACUGGAAUAAUUUCACUUAGAGCCCUAGAGUUUUGUCACAUUAAGCCUAGUUUGUUUCUGGAGGCCCUCUCCAAUUUUGGAUUUUUGACAAAUCCUCAUAAGUAAACAAACUCCUUGACCCAUGUUAAGUUCAAGAUCCUGCGUUUUGUUGGUGAAUCAAAUUUUUAAAGGAGAAAAGCUCCACCUGGCCACCUUUAUUUUUUAAACAAUGAUUUCAAAGGGAAGGUACACCUUUCAUAAUUGCUAAUUACGACAUAAGGGAUUAAUAGCCAUAAAUUACAAUAAAUUUUGCACCUGUUCCUAUUAUAAAUAUGAAUUAAAGAGAGUUACUGUAAUAGAUAUUUAAGAUUGCAAAGUGUGCCAGUUUGUUUCCUUAUAGCAAGUAGUAGGAUUUAGGUUUCACAAUGUAUAUUAAAAUGCCAACAAUUUCCUAUAUACAUUUUGUUUAAUUUGUUUGACAUAUACUGUGUGUUGUACCUGAUUUCAUAUUACUCAUCUAAAUUUUGCACUGAGAUGCCUAGCCUAAUUUGAUCACAGACUACUGCAUUAAAAAGAGAAAUAAAAAUCAUUAAAAUUAAGUUUAUUUUAAGGUAGAUGUGCACCUUUAAUUAGUAAUCAACUGUCCUUCAGUUGCAAGUGACAGAAACCCAACUCAUACCAGUGUCAGCAUGAACGGCAAUUUUUGGCUCAUAUACAGGGAGGUCCAGGCAUCUUACCAUCUCCCGUACUUACCUCUGAUGUUCUUUUUUCCAGAUUGAUUUUCUCUUCCAGGCAGACUUUCUCUUUGGGGAUGUUCUUUUUGGAGUAGGUGUCAGUAAGGUGAAGAUGGUGAGCAGCAGUGAUUGAUAGUUUCAGCUUACAUUAUCACAACCGAUGGCCCAAAACAUAGCAAAAAGAAAAACCAAACCUGUUGCUGUUGAGUCAGUUCUGACUCAUGGUGACCCCAGGUGUUACAGAGUAGAACUGUUUAAUAGGGUUUUCUUGGCUGUAAUCUUUACAGAAGCAAGUCACCAGGUUUUUCUUAAAUAGUGCCACUGGGUGGGUUCGAACUGAGAACCUCUAGGUUAGUAGUCACACAAAAACCAUUGGCAUCACCCAGGAACCCCAAAAACAUGGCGCAAGGUAUAUAAAUUUUCUGGGAAGUGCUUUGAUUUUGCCCAGAUUGGAUCACACUCCAUUCCUGAGCUGAUCAGGUCAGGAGUUCCCCCAAAGGAAGGAGAAGUUAUCAGAGAAAGGAAGGUGUAGAAAGCAGGAGAGGAAAGGUGGUUACUGAGAAGACGGAAGUAACAGAUGUCAACUGUACCCCAUUUGACACCCUUUGCUUUAGUCGGAGCCCUGGUGGCGCAGCGGAUGAGAGCCACAGCUACCAACCAGAAGGUUGGCAGUUUGAAUCCACCAGCCACUCCUUGAAACCCUAUGGGGCAGUUCUGUACUGUCCUCUAGGGUUACUAUGAGUCAGAAUCGAAUCAACGGCAGGGGCUAGGUUUGUUUUUUUUUCCUUUAGUCACUCCUUGUUCACUGUCUCCACAUGACCAUAUUCUACCUAUCUUGGAAUAAUAAUUGCCAUGGACCUCCCACAUAGAAAUCAUAGUUAAUAUUUGCACUGUAUUCCUGUCCCAUUUAUAGCCACUGUCUUAAAGUCCCCACAAAUACUGAAUUAGUAAGUUGCUAGCCAAACCAGCCUUGUUUGACCUCACCUAGGACUGAGUAUGCCCAUGUCUGCAAAUGACCGUGAAAGCACUACCAGUAUUGUUAGCAAAUAGGCCAAUUCUCCAAUAAGGAAUCUGUAAAUAAUGAGGAUCAACUGUAAUAAUAACAGUAAUAAACUAACAUGUAUUGAUCACUUACUAAAUGCCAAGCACUUUAUGUAUAUCAACUCAUUUAAAAUUUCUCGAAACAAAUCCAGUAAAAUAGAUGGUACAGUGAAGCCCUGCAGUUAAGUGGGGUACAAAAAAAUUCAGUAACAGGACACUGAAUAAACGCAAAGCCCUCAAGUCGAUUCCGACUCAUAGCAACCCCGUAGGAUGGAGUAGAACUGCCCCAUAGGGUUUCCAAGGCUAUAACCUUUACAGGAGCAGACUGGCACAUCUUUCUCCCAUGUAGUAGCUGGUGGAUUCAAGCCACUGACCUUACAGUUAGCAGCUGAUCACUUAACCACUGCACCACCAGGGCUCCUUUUUGGAUGCAUAUUACAGGCUUAAAUGACAGAGUAAGCCUGUGCAAUUAGUUUUCCAGGUUCCUAUAGUGUAACUGUAAGAUCCCAAAUCUAUCACCUGGUAGCAGAUGUCCAUUCAGGCCAAAAUAUCCAUGGAGACAAUUCUGAGUCAGUCAUAGGGCUAGCUAGUACUUCCAUGAUAACAGAGUGAGCUAAAGAAUCUCCCAGGUAGUUGUUGCCCAUUUCAUAAGCCUUAUCUGGGAUUAACCCACCCUCUGCCUCACCACGUCCUGGGACAGCCCAUCGUUUCCUCACCCAGCUUCAUUCUCCCUUUCUUAUUCCUCACCUUUACCAAGAGAUAAGAAUUUGAGCCCACAUGGGUUUGAGAACAAGGGAUAGGUAGAGAAUGGAGGCCAAUUCAUGUUUUUGUGGGGAGCAAUAUUGACAGAUUACUAUAAAUCCAUUUUACAGUUGAUAAAGUCAAGGCAUGUAGAGGUUACAAAUCAUUCUUAGACCAAAGUUCAUAAAUGGUGCAUAAAUAAAAAUUGGGUGUUGAGCUGGGGUGCAAGGGGUAGGGAAGAUCUCUGGGUUAAAAAAAAUAAUUAAGUCUUUGUUAUAGAUUGUUAUCUCCUAAUUGUAGCAGAGCCCCUGACUGAUAAGAAUAACACCAAUAGCUAAAAACUUAAAUAGAACUUAGCAGUAGUUAGGCAUCAUUUUACCCACAGGUACAACCAUUAAAUUACUGAAUCCUCAUAAUUGCUUGGGGUAGGUACUGCUGUAUUUCUUUGAAUCUAAAAUGUAAUUGACAGUAAGGUAUGCCAUUUUAUGUAACACUGUUCUUGUUAGGUACUGUCAAGUCGGUUCUGACUCAUAGCGCCACUGUGUACAACAGCGAAACACUGCCCAGUCCUACGCCAUCCUCACAGUCCUUAUACUUGAGCCCAUUGUUGCAGCCACUGCGUCACAAAGUGUUAUUAUGUAACACAAAGAAAAAAAUGCUGCCAGUUAAAUUAUAAUACCUCAUGCAUGCAAAAGCUGGACAAUGAAUAAGGAGGACUAAAGAAUUGAUGCAUUUGAAUUAUUGUGUUGGCGUAGACUACUGAAUAUAUCAUGGACUGCCAGAAAAACGAAUAAAUCUGCCUUGGCAGUACAGCCAGAAUGCUCCUUAGAAGCAAGGAUGAUGAGAGUUUGUCUCACAUACUUUGGACCUAUUAUCAGGAGGGACCAGCCUCUGGAGAAGGAAAUCUUGCUUGGGAAGUAGAGGGUCAUUGGAAGAGAGGAAGAUCCUCAAUGAGAUGGAUUGACAUACUGGCUGCAACGACGGGCUCAAGCACAGCAGUGAUUGCGAGAAUUGUGCAGGACUUCCAUUCUGUUGUACGUAGGGUCACUAUGAGCCGGAACCGACUCGAUAGCACCUGACAGCAUAUAAAAAGCUCUUCUAGAGAUUUCAGCAAAUCCAAGACUCCAUCAAUUGUAAUACACACUAUUUUAUAUACCACUGUGAGUCGGAAUCGACUUGAUGGCACUGGCUUUGGUUUUUUGGUUUGGUGAUGGUUAAGAUUGUGUGUCAACUUGGCUGGGACAUGAUUCUCAGUGUCUUGUCAGUUGUAUAAUGUUGUGGUCAUUUCCUUGUUGAGAUUUGAUACGUAAUCGCCCCAUAAUGGGAUCUGCUUCGAGUAGCCAGUCAGUUGAAAGGCAGUUUCCUUGUUCGUGUGGCCUGCAUCAAGUGUGGGCAGAUGUUCUGGCAGGGCUUGGGGGGCUUUUGCUCGUUCUAGAUCCUCCAGCUGGCUUCUGCUCAUCUAACCUCCUGUUCUUGAGACCUGAGCUAGCAGCUUAACUGCAGACUUGCCUGCUGAUGUUGGGUUCCUCGAUCUUCACAGUCUGUGAGCAACAGCCCUACUCUCUGACCUUGGAUUCAGCAGCCUCUGUGGCUAUGUGAAUCAGCAGAAACCUCUAUCCUGACCACAGAAUUGGGACGUUCCAUCCUCUACAACCAUUUCUCCCUGGAAAUGUUGGUCAUUUGCUCAGCCAACAUCUUUGGCCUCUGUAGCCAGUGCAGCUUGGAAGCCUAUAAAGAGUUUCUGCCACAUUUGGACCCUCACAAACAAAACUUCUAAGCAUUGGAAGUGGAAAAAUUGAGCUGGUGAGGAAAGCCAAGCAAGAGCGGGCAUUCAGUCUUCCAGGUAACAAAUUAAUGGGACUCUGUAAGAAGAAAGCUACUGUUUGUGGCUGACCUGUGUGUGGACAGUCGAAGGGAAAGCAUGAUCUAGAUGUUCUUUCCUAGCCUUCCAAGGUGGCAAAGAGCAAUUGUGAGGUUUAGUGUGAUUUUUUUUUUUUUUAAGCAAUCAAAUUCUCCUUUUCCCUACCCAACUUAUAUGUCCCUUAGGAGUAAGAAGGAAAAGAAGUUUAUUCCUCAGCCCCUUUAGCCCAUCAAAAAGUACUUUAUUUGAAAUCCUGAGAAAUACUACAAGCUUAGCCCACUCAAAAGUACUUUAUAAUGUCCUAUAAUCUCUUACAGUCCCAUUUAGUAUUUCUCCAAAGAGUAGUAAUGAAUCUAUAAAGCUUAGACCAAGUGAUGGUACAAAGUAUACAUUAUAUCAAAGGGUAUGGUAAUCAUCUGUUGUUUGCUACCCAACAUACAUCCACCUUCUUUCUGGUAAUGAUACCUUGAGUUCCUUUGGGAAACUGCCAACUCUCCCCUGUUCUCACCUAUCUGGUUUGGAUGAGAUUUACCCCAACCCUAGCUCAUGGGUGGUUUUCAUCAGCCUAAAUUGAUCAGAGUAUCCCACUCCUGUAGUCAUGUGUUUGGUUCAAAACUGUGCAGGUGACCUAAGCUGGUGCGAUCUGAGGGAACUACAGAAAUUUGGAUGACAACAGGCGGGUUGCAGCCUCUUCUCUGCUAUAAAUUGGUAAGGCUAAGAGCAAGUUAGCGUUUUUGCUACUGUAAGGGAGAGCCAGCUCAGAGGAAGCUAAUUGAGCCUGCAGUAAACCAAGGCAUCUGUCCCUAUGGAGCACUGAGUUACAUUGUUGCUGUUACCUGCUGUUGAGUCAAUUCCAGUUCAUAGCCACCGUAUAGGGCAGAGUAGAAGUACCACAUAGGGACGGAGUAGAAGUGCCCCAUAGGUUGUCCAGGGAGCAGCUGGUAGAUUCAAACUGUCAGCUUUUUGGUUAGCAGCCCAGUUCUUAACCAUUGUACCACCAGGUCUCCUUAGUUACAUUAGGCAAUGCAUUUUUUUUUCUUAUUCAAGUUUAGGUAAGUUGGGUUUUCUGUCAUCUGUGCAUGCAUUUGAUACCAGCAAAUGAAGUGUGGCAAGUGAUAUCCCUGGAAUAUGGAAUUGGCUGGAUCAAGGAGGCAAGGAGAACCUCUGUAUCUUAUGCUAGAAUGUUAGGAAGGGUUAGAUUCGGUUGUAAAUGUAAAAAUAAUCUUAACUGUGGCUUGAACUAAAUAGAAUUUCUUUUUCUCAUAUUCAAGAAGACCAGUCAGUGGGAAUCAGUGUCAGGGACCCAGGCUCACGCCAACUUGUUGCUCUACCAAAGUGGCUUCUGUUCCCAAGGUCACCAUGUGGUGGUACAAGAUGGCUGAUAGUCAUUAGUCCACCUUCUGCCUAAUAAAAAGAAGAGAGAAAGGCAUGGCCCCAACCUUUAAGGAUACCAAUUCUAUUUACAUACUAUUUUCGGAACUUGGGCAGUUGCUGUGACUUCUUGCAGGGGGGGCUGAAAAAAAAGUCUUUAUUCUGGAUGGUAAUGUGCCUAACUAAAAAUUAUGGAUCUUAUUAUGAAGGAAGAGGGUUAAAUGGGUACUGGGGGUCAAAUAACAGUCUUUGCCACAAUUGACCACUGGCAGUUCUUCUUUGUGGUACUGUAUUAGUUGGUUAUUCCAUUGUCUAAUGUAUACUGGAACUUUCAGCUCAUAUAUCUCCUAGUCUACAGUACUAAGGGACUUGGACAAAGAUCAGGCUGUAGGAAUGUGUUGAAGCCUUUGUAAAAUCCUAAAAGAAAGAGAUUUAUUUGAAACUAAUUCAUCUAAAAACCAAGAAAUAAUAAAAUAAGGCUUUGCUACUAGAAACGCUUUCUGCCUGUGACAUGCAAUCCAAGUCAGCUUAGUGUGAAAAGCUGGAUCCUUCAGUGAAAAAGCCAAUUUUUCUCCUAAAGUUAAGUUAUUUUGAGCAAAAGAGGAGAGAAGUACAGUGAUACAAGAUUGGGACCUAGAAUGAGUGUGAUUUCCCCCCAGGCCUCUUCUAGAAUCCUCUUGUUAAACACUUCCAGCCUGUCAAAGGAGAUACUCAUUCCCAUUGAAAAGAUGCAGUUGGUGAGCAGUCUUCCAGCAAAGGCAGAUUCAGCCAUUCCUCGCUACUCCAGGACAUUGCUUUGUAUUGCCCCCAAACAGAAGCCAAUAUGGAAGCAGACAUCAUUCAUUUUCAGCCAGCCCAAUCCAAUGUUUUAAAUGAAAAACUGUGAAUCAACUAGAUCUCUAAUUUUUAUUACUAACCCAUGGAUUAAUCAGAAACACAUAGAUAUAGAGCCAACUGAAAUGUUAAGGGAUUAAUAUCACAGAGAAACCUCCAACUCUGACAAAAAGAAUAUUCCAUGACUGCCCAAUUUCUAAAUCAGUCCUCGGAGCCCUGUCGCCCACCACACAUACACCCUGUUUAUACCACUAAGCAGAGGGCCGCUGAAGCUGUGCAAUUCCCUGGAAAGGCUCUCACAGAUAUAACGGACAAGGGAGAUUCUCUCAGAGCGUGGAACAGAGACAGCGCCAGAUGUGCACUUCACUGCAAGACAGGGAGUUCUUGCUCUUUCUGUCCAGAAAGAUUGUAAUAUGUAUGAGGACUGCUGUCCACUGCAUGUUUUCCAUUCUCCCCUUUGAAUCUUUAUUGUAGUCUUUCUAUUUUUUUCUCUCCCACUGGCUGAAUAUAGGGUGUAGUUAAACAGAUCAGUGAGGCGUGACAAGUCAUUUGACAUAAUCUACACAUUAACAUGAAAUAUCUGAGUUGGAUCUAGCUGCAACAACUGGGUGAGAUCUCAUAUUACCUCCCUUUAGGAAGGGCUUGAGUCUAUUUUACAUAUGGAAAGGAAGGAGUAUGUUGAUGUUAGGCAGCCAGAGAGGUGGACUGUCCAACAUCAAUUACUCCUAUCUGGUACUCCAGAUUUCCUUUAAGAAUCGCUUCUCCCCAUUCUCGACUAUAUGGUGUGGUUGGGAUUAAGAACCCACCUUCCCAUUCCACCCUCUCAGCCACAAUGAUUGGUUCAGGAAUGGGCAUAUAAAUCCAUACCAGAAUGAAUCUCCAGAUUUUUACUAGCAAUGCUGGAGCUCAAGCUCUCUCUUCCUCCUUAGGUUUACUUAUGUGAUGAGUCUGUGAGCUUUAGCACUGUUGUAACCAUUUUUGAUGCCACAAGAGGAGGCAACCUGAGUACAAAAUCAACCUAGAGGCAGAGUUGAGAGAUAGAUCCUAAUAACAUUUUGCUUUCAUUUUGCAAUGUUCUGGAAUGCUUUUCCUGAAAUUGCAACAAUAGCAAUAACAAAGUUUCCCAAAUGAUAUGGAGGAUGUGAGAAAAUUCAAAAAAGCACCUUUUUUAAGUGAUCUUUGUCAAUCUUCUCCAAGCCUGUGCUUACCUCUGAAGAGUAAGAUUGAAAUCUGUAGAACCACAGACUCUUAGAAUCUUAAAACCAAAAGAAUCAUAGAGAUCAACUAGUCCAGGUUCUCCCAAGGUGCCUCAGCAAGGUGAUUUUUAGCUGCUUUAUGAACAUUUUUAAUUUUAAUAAGUAGAAUUAUUAUAAUGAGUCCUAGAAAAAUAUAGCUAGUAUUUUCCCAUCAAACCUGUGAUUUCAUGGAUUCUGUGUGAUGCUUUUACUAAAGAGGAAAUUGGAGAGAGAUAAAGGGGCUUGUUUAGGAAUUGCCCAAUUGGUGAGUGAAAUGUGAGAGGAUUAAAUGUGGAAUCUUAUAACUGGAAGGGACCCUGGAGAUCAUGAAGUCACCUCCACCCCCUUUCACUUCCAACUUCAGACUUCCCUCCAAAGCCUCUUUCACAAGUAUGUAGUAAUCCAGCCUCUAUUUGAAUACCUCAGGGAUGGGUAGCUUAUUAUCAUUUGAGGCAGUACAUUCCAUUUUGACAGCUCUGAUAGUUGGAAAAUUCUCCCUUCUACUCAGCCAAAAUCAGCCCCUUGAAAUUCUUUCCAUUCGGUUUCAGUUCAUCCUUUUGAAGCCACGCCCCUCCUUCAAAUGUUUCAAGACAGUUACUCUGCUCCCUCGACCCUUCCCUACAUAGACACACCAAGUCUCUUUUCAUAGAAUGUGAUUUUUAAUCACUUAAGCGUUUUCUCAUUCCUUUUUGAUUUAGUGCUCAAAUGUCUUUAUCCCUAUUAGAGCUUUGUGUCAAGAACAGGACUUAAUAAAUACGCAGUGUAGACCAAACUAGAACUGACCUGCUCUUUGUCCUGAACUGUUUGUUUCUAUUAAAGGCAGCCUUAGAUCACCACGUCCCAUGAUUGGCCAUUGAGUCUGAGUGUCCAUCUUUUUUUUUUUUUUUUUUUUCCAACCAUCAUAAUGUUCUCCACUGGCUGGCUAAUUGGACUUCAGUUCACAACUCCUACUUUAUUCUUACCCCUUUUCAGUGCAUCAUUCCAGUCUGUUGGGAAUUUUAUGGAUCUUGAUUCUAUCAGCCAAUUUAUUAAAUCCUGCAAUAGUAGAGCAUGAGGACUUUCCUUAAAACUUAAAAAAAUAUUACCUCAGAAUACAUAAAAAUGUAAUGAAUGAAGAGGAUAAUAAACUUAUGGAACCUAGUACCCAAGAGGUUGAUGUAGACUGAAUAUCAAUGGAUUUAGUAUGGAUCCGUGAGAGAUUAAGAGAUGUUUGGGAGAUUAUUCAACUUUUUGAAUAUAGUGUCCUAACCUUGUCCAGCAAAUACUCCUAUUGUCCAAAAAGAUUGUAAUAUGUACUAAGGAUUGGUAGACACUGCAUAUUUCAUAUUCACAAAAACAUAAGAUUGAGCUAUACUAGACAAAGUCUAACCCAGCAUAGAAUUUCUUACCAGUUUCUCCCUGCUGCAGAAACAGACCUGUCGAUGGCCUCUGGAGCCAAUCCAGUUAACGGUUAAAAGCACUGGUUUGAGAGUUAAAUAGAACUGAGUUCAAACCCUAACUCUAUGUUUUUUUUACUAGUUGUGCACCCUCUGGCAAACUAUCCCGUUUCUCUGAGCCUCCAUUAACUGCCUCUAUAAACUGGAGAUAAUAUGGUACCCAUGAAUAGGCAUUUUAAGAAUUACAUAAUAUAAAAAAAAAACCAGUGCCAUCAAGUCGAUUCAGACUCAUAG